rnacentral:rRNA from 1 species
AACGAACGCUGGCGGCAUGCCUAACACAUGCAAGUCGAACGAGACCUUCGGGUCUAGUGGCGCACGGGUGCGUAACGCGUGGGAACCUGCCCUUAGGUUCGGAAUAACUCCCCGAAAGGGGUGCUAAUACCGGAUAAUGUCUUCGGACCAAAGAUUGAUCGCCUUUGGAUGGGCCCGAGUUGUAUUGGCUAGUUGUUAGGGUAAAAGCCUACCAAGGGGAGGAUCCAUAGCUGGUCAGAGAGGAUGAUCAGCCACACUGGGACUGGGCAACGGCCCAGACUACUAGGGGAGGCAGCAGUGGGGAAUAUUGGAAAAUGGGCGAAAGCCUGAUCCAGCAAUGCCGCGUGAGUGAUGAAGGCCGUAGGGUUGUAAAGCUCUUUUACCCGGGAUGAUAAUGACAGUACCGGGAGAAUAAGCUCCGGCUAACUCCGUG